rnacentral:rRNA from 1 species
GAUCCUGGCUCGGGAUGAACGGCUGGCGGCGUGCCUAACACAUGCAAGUCGAACGGAGUGUUUAGAGCUUGCUUGAACACUUAGUGGCGGACGGGUGAGUAAUGCGUGAGCAACCUGCCUUUCGGAGGGGGACAACAGUUGGAAACGACUGCUAAUACCGCAUAACGUACAGAGGGGGCAUCCCUUUUGUACCAAAGGAGCAAUCCGCCGAAAGAUGGACUCACGUCUGAUUAGCUAGUUGGUGGGGUAACGGCUCACCAAGGCUGCGAUCAGUAGCCGGACUGAGAGGUUGAACGGCCACAUUGGGACUGAGAUACGGCCCAGACUCCUACGGGAGGCAGCAGUGGGGAAUAUUGGGCAAUGGGCGAAAGCCUGACCCAGCAACGCCGCGUGAAGGAAGAAGGUCCUCGGAUUGUAAACUUCUUUUAUGAGGGACGGAGGACGUGACGGUACCUCAUGAAUAAGCCACGGCUAACUACGUGCCAGCCGCGGC